UACAGAGGUCCCAAGCGUUGUUCGGAUUCAUUGGGCGUAAAGGGUGCGUAGGCGGCGCGGUAAGUCGGGUGUGAAAUCUCGGAGCUUAACUCCGAAACUGCAUUCGAUACUGCCGUGCUUGAGGACUGGAGAGGAGACUGGAAUUUACGGUGUAGCGGUGAAAUGCGUAGAUAUCGUAAGGAAGACCAGUGGCGAAGGCGGGUCUCUGGACAGUUCCUGACGCUGAGGCACAAAGGCCAGGGGAGCAAACGGG
rnacentral:rRNA from 1 species